UACGUAGGCAGCAAGCGUUGUUCGGAGUUACUGGGCGUAAAGGGUGUGUAGGCGGCUUUCUAAGUUUGUUGUGAAAUCUCCCGGCUUAACCGGGAGGGUGCGGCGAAGACUGGAAGGCUAGAGUAUGGGAUGGGAGAGUGGAAUUCCUGGUGUAGCGGUGAAAUGCGCAGAGAUCGGGAGGAACACCCGUAGCGAAGGCGGCACUCUGGGCCGGUACUGACGCUGAGGAGCGAAAGCGUGGGGAGCGAACAGG
rnacentral:rRNA from 1 species